GCCUUCGUGGUGUAGUGGUAAGCAUGCUCGACGCGUAACGGAGAGGUCCGUGGUUCGGUUCCCGGCGAAAGCG
rnacentral:tRNA from 1 species